GAUCAUGGCUCAGGAUGAACGCUGGCGGCGUGCUUAACACAUGCAAGUCGAACGGAGUUUUAACGGAAGUUUCGGAUGGAAGUUUAAGAACUUAGUGGCGGACGGGUGAGUAACGCGUGGGUAACCUGCCUCAGUACAGGGGGAUAACAGUUAGAAAUGACUGCUAACACCGCAUAAUAUAGUGAAACCGCAUGAUUUUGCUAUCAAAUAUUUAUAGGUAUGAGAUGGGCCCGCGUCUGAUUAGCUAGUUGUGGGGUAAAAGCCUACCAAGGCGACGAUCAGUAGCCGGCUUGAGAGAGUGACCGGCCACAUUGGGACUGAGACACGGCCCAAACUCCUACGGGAGGCAGCAGUGGGGAAUAUUGGACAAUGGGGGAAACCCUGAUCCAGCGAACCGCCGCGUGAGUGAAGAAGUAUUUCGGUAUGUAAAGCUCUAUCAGCAGGGAAGAUAAUGACAGUACCUGACUAAGAAGCCCCGGCUAACUACGUGCCAGCCGCUGC
rnacentral:rRNA from 1 species